rnacentral:rRNA from 1 species
UACGAAGGGGGCUAGCGUUGCUCGGAAUCACUGGGCGUAAAGGGUGCGUAGGCGGGUCUUAAGUCAGGGGUGAAAUCCUGGGGCUCAACUCCAGAACUGCCUUUGAUACUGAGGAUCUUGAGUAUGGGAGAGGUGAGUGGAACUGCGAGUGUAGAGGUGAAAUUCGUAGAUAUUCGCAAGAACACCAGUGGCGAAGGCGGCUCACUGGCCCAUUACUGACGCUGAGGCACGAAAGCGUGGGGAGCAAACAGGGAUUAGAA